AGGUUGCUGUAGUAAAGGAAUAACACAUGAAGAUAUUCUACGUUGUCUCAUGGUAUCCUUCAUGGGUUAAGUAUUUCUUGCGGGGAACUGGACUCCAGUGGGAUAGUUGCCUUCCCUUACACAAGGAUUACAAACUCUGGGUUUGUGAAGGAGAAUCCGGCGAAUUCGUUUUGAUCCAGGUUCAUGAUAAAGAGUUUGUCAGUGGGGGUGAGAUCCAAGGCCUGACGCGUGAACUCCUUAUCAAAGUUAGAGGUAUCUCGCUUGUCCUUCUGUAAGAGGGCAAAGUGUACAAAUCCUUAGUG